rnacentral:rRNA from 1 species
UACGUAGGGGGCGAGCGUUGUCCGGAAUUAUUGGGCGUAAAGAGCGUGUAGGCGGUUCGGUAAGUCUGCCGUGAAAACCUGAGGCUCAACCUCGGGCGUGCGGUGGAUACUGCCGGGCUAGAGGACGGUAGAGGCGAGUGGAAUUCCCGGUGUAGCGGUGAAAUGCGCAGAUAUCUGGAGGAACACCGGUGGCGAAGGCGGCAUCCUGGACCAAUAUUGACGCUGAGGAGCGAAAGCCAGGGGAGCAAACGGG